rnacentral:rRNA from 1 species
GACGAACGCUGGCGGCGUGCUUAACACAUGCAAGUCGAACGGAAAGGCCCUGCUUUUGUGGGGUGCUCGAGUGGCGAACGGGUGAGUAACACGUGAGUAACCUGCCCUUGACUUUGGGAUAACUUCAGGAAACUGGGGCUAAUACCGGAUAGGAGCUCCUGCUGCAUGGUGGGGGUUGGAACGUUUCGGCGGUUGGGGAUGGACUCGCGGCUUAUCAGCUUGUUGGUGGGGUAGUGGCUUACCAAGGCUUUGACGGGUAGCCGGCCUGAGAGGGUGACCGGCGACAUUGGGACUGCGAUACGGCCCAGACUCCUACGGGGGGCAGCAGUGGGGAAUAUUGCACAAUGGGCGGAAGCCUGAUGCAGCAACGCCGCGUGCGGGAUGACGGCCUUCGGGUUGUAAACCGCUUUCGCCUGUGACGAAGCGUGAGUGACGGUAAUGGGUAAAGAAGCACCGGCUAACUACGUG